GCUUCUAACUUCCGGUACUAGUGGCGAACGGGUGAGUAACGCGUGGGUAAUCUGCCCAUAAGAGGGGGACAACAGUUGGAAACGACUGCUAAUACCGCAUAAGCUGCGCAAGCAGUAAAGGAGGCCUCUUGAUAAAGCUUCCGCUUAUGGAUGAGCCCGCGUCUGAUUAGCUAGUUGGUGGGGUAAAAGCCUACCAAGGCGAUGAUCAGUAGCCGGCCUGAGAGGGUGAACGGCCACACUGGGACUGAGACACGGCCCAGACUCCUACGGGAGGCAGCAGUGGGGAAUAUUGCGCAAUGGGGGAAACCCUGACGCAGCGACGCCGCGUGAGCGAAGAAGGUUUUCGGAUUGUAAACCUCUGUUCUUGGGGAAGAGUGAAAGACGGUACCCAAGGAGGAAGCCCCGGCUAACUACGUGCCAGCAGCCGCGGUAAUACGUAGGGGGCGAGCGUUGUCCGGAAUGAUUGGGCGUAAAGGGCGCGUAGGCGGCUUUGCAAGUCAGUAGUGGAAGUCCAUUUUUCAAGGAUGGAAGUGCUACAGAAACUGCGGAGCUUGAGUGCAGGAGAGGUUAUCGGAAUUCCCGGUGUAGCGGUGAAAUGCGUAGAGAUCGGGAGGAACACCAGUGGCGAAGGCGGGUAACUGGACUGCAACUGACGCUGAGGCGCGAAAGUGUGGGGAGCAAACAGGGUUAGAUACCCUGGUAGUCCACACAGUAAACGAUGCAUACUGGGCGUCCGGAUUUAAUUCGGGUGCCGCAGCUAACGCGUUAAGUAUGCCGCCUGGGGAGUACGUACGCAAGUAUGAAACUCAAAGGAAUUGACGGGGGCCCGCACAAGCGGAGGAACAUGUGGUUUAAUUCGAUGAUACGCGAGGAACCUUACCCGGGCUCGAACGGUGCAUGAAUAUACGAGAGAUUGUAUAGUCCUUCGGGACAUGUAUCGAGGUGCUGCAUGGUUGUCGUCAGCUCGUGCCGUGAGGUGUCGGCUUAAGUGCCAUAACGAGCGCAACCCUUGUCAUUAGUUGCCAUCAGGUCAAGCUGGGGACUUUAAUGAGACUGCCACCGUAAGGUGUGAGGAAGGGGGGGAGGACGUCAAAUCAGCACGGCCCUUAUGUCCGGGGCGACACACGUGUUACAAUGGGAGGUACAGAGGGCAGCUAUCCGGUGACGGAAUGCUAAUCUCCAAAACCUUUCUCAGUUCGGAUUGGAGUCUGCAACUCGACUCCAUGAAGGUGGAUUCGCUAGUAAUCGCGCAUCAGCCAUGGCGCGGUGAAUACGUUCCCGGGCCUUGUACUCACCGCCCGUCA
rnacentral:rRNA from 1 species